ACCAGGCAUCACUUCAGUCAGAUCAGUCUUCAUAAGGAGCAUCCAAGUUACACUGCUGAGAUGUAUCUGAUGGGAAGGCUCUGGGUUCUGGGUUCUCUACUCUCCUUGAACUGAUUUAGUCAAGGCCUCCUGCCUUGGAGAGAGAUGCUCACAGGCCCACUUUCCAGAAGCUGCCAGACCUGACUGGUGAGAUGCCUUCCUCAGCUUUGCAGCUUCCCAGGCCCAUCCUUGAAUAGCACCAUCAACCAAGAAAAGGAGAGGAGCAGCCUGCAGGCCCUGCGCCCACUUCACACUGCUGUCCUCCGUCCUGAGCUGGCCAACUAUCUUCCACCUCAGCCCCCAGACGGCCCCAACAGAUGGGCUGUCAUUCAAAAAUUUGAUGGAGGCCAUAGCUGACACUGUCAGCUGCAACACUGCAGGAUGUCUUUCUGCCUGGCACAGCAGCUGAGCAGUCUUUCGCCUUUGAGGAUGAAGCAAGUGAACAGUGGGAUCUGGAAGGAGGAGAGAAACUCACAGAGGAAACGUCCAGCCUACAUAGACCACCAAGUUUUCUGAUUUGUCUCCUUAGUCUUGACCACAGGUUUACCAGACAGCCAAGUAGGGAGAUACUUGUAUAGUCAGGCUUUCCUUUCUGGACAUUGUCGGCCUCUAUACCUGCUGUGCCUAGAAAACUGCAGAAGAAUCUUCUGUCGUAGUCCUAGUCUUGUCUUUAUGAACUCAAAAGAACGAAAGAAGCUAGAUAUAUGCUGGAAUUGGGGAGACAGACAUUAAUAACAAGGACACCCAGCCUGCCAGAAUAAAUGGGAGGAGGCGAUCCAUCUACAUGACAGGUAUUCAGUGGAGCCUGGAGCCCCCAGCUCUGCUGAGACGUGAAUGAAAGAAAUGUAGAGUGGAAUGUGUGUAAUAUAAAUAUAUGGUAGGGGGUACCAGGAUUUGGACCAGAGACCUCUUGAUCUGCAGUCAAAUGUUCUAUCCCUGAACUAUAUCCCUUCCAUCU